GUUUUCAGGCGGCCUCCUGAGAAAUGUUUGCAAUUGUAAGGCGUCUCUCUCAUCCAGGUUUACCCAGAUUCGCAAACUAUGGCGACAAACAACCAUAGCAGAAGCAUGUCCGGAUUAUUUCACAUAUAUCACAAAAUCCUGCAAAGGGUCUGUCCCCAUUGGAUCACCUCCCAUCACGCCACACACGACGUGAAUGACUUCGUGCUUCUCCAUACCUGCAUUGAUCUCUGGGUCCAUUGCCAGUUAUAAACCUCCAAGGGCAAUAGCCAUGAGGUAACGAGGAGACCAAAGGCCUAGUUAUUUAUGGAGAUCUGGGGCCACAGCAGAGCUCCUCAUGGCAGGAUAAGGCAGUGGAAAGCAGACUCAACGGUUAACCCACAGUCCUCCUCAGCAAGCUGGGAGAAGCAACUGAUGCCACUUAGAUGCUUAGACCGGGCCUUCUGGGAGAGAUCUGGCCCAAGGAGCAGCCGGCAGCUUGACACAGUGACCAAUUGGAAGCACAGCAGCCACACGCCAUGAAACAAGACGGAGUUUCGCUCUUGGCUGGAGUGCAAUGUCGCAAUCUGGGCUCACCACAACCUCCACCUCCCGGGUUCAAGUGAUUCUCCUGCCUCAGCCUCCCAAGUAGCUGGGAUUACAGGCAUGCACCACCAUACCAGACUAAUUUUGUAAUUUUAGUAGAAACGGGGUUUUUCCAUGUUGGUCAGGCUGGUCCUGAACUCCCGACCUCGGGUGAUCCUCCCACCUCAGCCUCCCUAUAUUAUUAAUCUUAAGUCUAAAUGUUCUAUUAGAAAAGUUACAAUCACAUAUGCAGCUUGCAUUACAUUGCUAAUGGAACACGCUGCUCUAAACCAGGGAUUGGCAAACUAUGGGCAGUGGACAACUUCCAGCCCACUGUCUGUUUCUGUACAGCUGGUAAACAAGGAAUGGUUUUCACAUUUUUAAAUGGCAGAAAAAAAAUAAUUUGUGAUACGUGAACAUUAAUAAAAUUCAAAUUUCAGUGUC
rnacentral:lncRNA from 1 species